rnacentral:rRNA from 1 species
GGUUAAGCGACUAAGCGUACACGGUGGAUGCCCUGGCAGUCAGAGGCGAUGAAGGACGUGCUAAUCUGCGAAAAGCGACGGCGAGGUGAUAUGAACCUUUGACCCGUCGAUGUCCGAAUGGGGAAACCCAGUGUGUUUCGACACACUAUCGUUAACUGAAUACAUAGGUUAACGAGGCGAACCGGGGGAACUGAAACAUCUAAGUACCCCGAGGAAAAGAAAUCAACCGAGAUUCCCCCAGUAGCGGCGAGCGAACGGGGAGCAGCCCGGAGUCUGAAUCAGCUUGUGUGUUAGUGGAAGCGUCUGGAAAGUCGCACGGUACAGGGUGACAGUCCCGUACACGAAAAUGCACAGGUUGUGAACUCGAAGAGUAGGGCGGGACACGUGGUAUCCUGUCUGAAUAUGGGGGGACCAUCCUCCAAGGCUAAAUACUCCUGACUGACCGAUAGUGAACCAGUACCGUGAGGGAAAGGCGAAAAGAACCCCGGCGAGGGGAGUGAAAAAGAACCUGAAACCGUGUACGUACAAGCAGUGGGAGCACCUUCGUGGUGUGACUGCGUACCUUUUGUAUAAUGGGUCAGCGACUUAUAUUCUGUAGCAAGGUUAACCGUAUAGGGGAGCCGCAGGGAAACCGAGUCUUAACUGGGCGUUAAGUUGCAGGGUAUAGACCCGAAACCCGGUGAUCUAGCCAUGGGCAGGUUGAAGGUUGGGUAACACUAACUGGAGGACCGAACCGACUAAUGUUGAAAAAUUAGCGGAUGACCUGUGGCUGGGGGUGAAAGGCCAAUCAAACCGGGAGAUAGCUGGUUCUCCCCGAAAGCUAUUUAGGUAGCGCCUCGUGAAUUCAUCUUCGGGGGUAGAGCACUGUUUCGGCUAGGGGGCCAUCCCGGCUUACCAACCCGAUGCAAACUACGAAUACCGAAGAAUGUUAUCACGGGAGACACACGGCGGGUGCUAACGUCCGUCGUGAAGAGGGAAACAACCCAGACCGCCAGCUAAGGUCCCAAAGUCAUGGUUAAGUGGGAAACGAUGUGGGAAGGCACAGACAGCCAGGAUGUUGGCUUAGAAGCAGCCAUCAUUUAAAGAAAGCGUAAUAGCUCACUGGUCGAGUCGGCCUGCGCGGAAGAUGUAACGGGGCUAAACCAUGCACCGAAGCUGCGGCAGCGACGCUUAUGCGUUGUUGGGUAGGGGAGCGUUCUGUAAGCCGUUGAAGGUGUGCUGUGAGGCAUGCUGGAGGUAUCAGAAGUGCGAAUGCUGACAUAAGUAACGAUAAAGCGGGUGAAAAGCCCGCUCGCCGGAAGACCAAGGGUUCCUGUCCAACGUUAAUCGGGGCAGGGUGAGUCGACCCCUAAGGCGAGGCCGAAAGGCGUAGUCGAUGGGAAACAGGUUAAUAUUCCUGUACUUGGUGUUACUGCGAAGGGGGGACGGAGAAGGCUAUGUCAGCCGGGCGACGGUUGUCCCGGUUUAAGCGUGUAGGUGUGUGUUCCAGGCAAAUCCGGUUCACUUUAACACUGAGGCGUGAUGACGAGGCACUACGGUGCUGAAGUGAUAAAUGCCCUGCUUCCAGGAAAAGCCUCUAAGCAUCAGGUAACACGAAAUCGUACCCCAAACCGACACAGGUGGUCAGGUAGAGAAUACCAAGGCGCUUGAGAGAACUCGGGUGAAGGAACUAGGCAAAAUGGUGCCGUAACUUCGGGAGAAGGCACGCUGAUAUGUAGGUGAAGUCCCUGCGGACGGAGCUGAAAUCAGUCGAAGAUACCAGCUGGCUGCAACUGUUUAUUAAAAACACAGCACUGUGCAAACACGAAAGUGGACGUAUACGGUGUGACGCCUGCCCGGUGCCGGAAGGUUAAUUGAUGGGGUUAGCGGCAACGCGAAGCUCUUGAUCGAAGCCCCGGUAAACGGCGGCCGUAACUAUAACGGUCCUAAGGUAGCGAAAUUCCUUGUCGGGUAAGUUCCGACCUGCACGAAUGGCGUAAUGAUGGCCAGGCUGUCUCCACCCGAGACUCAGUGAAAUUGAACUCGCUGUGAAGAUGCAGUGUACCCGCGGCAAGACGGAAAGACCCCGUGAACCUUUACUAUAGCUUGACACUGAACACUGGUCCUUGAUGUGUAGGAUAGGUGGGAGGCUUUGAAGCGUGGACGCCAGUCUGCGUGGAGCCGUCCUUGAAAUACCACCCUUUAAUGGCUGGUGUUCUAACGUGGACCCGUAAUCCGGGUUGCGGACAGUGUCUGGUGGGUAGUUUGACUGGGGCGGUCUCCUCCCAAAGAGUAACGGAGGAGCACGAAGGUUAGCUAAUCCUGGUCGGACAUCAGGAGGUUAGUGCAAUGGCAUAAGCUAGCUUGACUGCGAGAGUGACGGCUCGAGCAGGUGCGAAAGCAGGUCAUAGUGAUCCGGUGGUUCUGAAUGGAAGGGCCAUCGCUCAACGGAUAAAAGGUACUCCGGGGAUAACAGGCUGAUACCGCCCAAGAGUUCAUAUCGACGGCGGUGUUUGGCACCUCGAUGUCGGCUCAUCACAUCCUGGGGCUGAAGUAGGUCCCAAGGGUAUGGCUGUUCGCCAUUUAAAGUGGUACGCGAGCUGGGUUUAGAACGUCGUGAGACAGUUCGGUCCCUAUCUGCCGUGGGCGCUGGAGAAUUGAGGGGGGCUGCUCCUAGUACGAGAGGACCGGAGUGGACGCAUCACUGGUGUUCGGGUUGUCAUGCCAAUGGCACUGCCCGGUAGCUAAAUGCGGAAGAGAUAAGUGCUGAAAGCAUCUAAGCACGAAACUUGCCCCGAGAUGAGUUCUCCCUGAGACUUUAAGUCUCCUGAAGGAACGUUGAAGACGACGACGUUGAUAGGCCGGGUGUGUAAGCGCAGCGAUGCGUUGAGCUAACCGGUACUAAUGAACCGUGAGGCUUAACCUU